rnacentral:tRNA from 1 species
GUGUCGGGAUUGGCUAGAAUGCCACCUUGCCAAGGUGGAUGUCGUGGGUUCGAAUCCCAUCCGCCGCU